GGUUAAGCGACCAAGCGUACACGGUGGAUGCCCUGGCAGUCAGAGGCGAUGAAGGACGUGCUAAUCUGCGAAAAGCGUCGGCGAGGUGAUAUGAACCUUUGACCCGGCGAUGUCCGAAUGGGGAAACCCAGUGUGAUUCGUCACACUAUCGUUAACUGAAUACAUAGGUUAACGAGGCGAACCGGGGGAACUGAAACAUCUAAGUACCCCGAGGAAAAGAAAUCAACCGAGAUUCCCCCAGUAGCGGCGAGCGAACGGGGAGCAGCCCAGAGCCUGAAUCAGCCAGUGUGGUAGUGGAAGUGUCUGGAAAGGCACGCGAUACAGGGUGACAGCCCCGUACACAAAACCACACCGGUUGUGAGCUCGAUGAGUAGGGCGGGACACGUGGUAUCCUGUCUGAAUAUGGGGGGACCAUCCUCCAAGGCUAAAUACUCCUGACUGACCGAUAGUGAACCAGUACCGUGAGGGAAAGGCGAAAAGAACCCCGGCGAGGGGAGUGAAAAAGAACCUGAAACCGUGUACGUACAAGCAGUGGGAGCCUCUUU
rnacentral:rRNA from 1 species